UACGUAGGGUGCAGGCGUUAAUCGGAAUUACUGGGCGUAAAGCGUGCGUAGGCGGUUUGUUAAGACAGGUGUGAAAUCCCCGGGCUUAACCUGGGAACUGCGCUUGUUACUGGCAGACUGGAGUGUGGCAGAGGGGGGUGGAAUUCCAGGUGUAGCAGUGAAAUGCGUAGAUAUCGGGAGGAACACCUGAGGCGAAGGCGGGUUACUGGGCUGAUACUGACGCUGAUGCGCGAAAGCCAGGGGAGCAAACGGG
rnacentral:rRNA from 1 species